CACUCCUACGGGAGGCAGCAGUGGGGAAUAUUGGACAAUGGGCGCAAGCCUGAUCCAGCCAUGCCGCGUGAGUGAUGAAGGCCCUAGGGUUGUAAAGCUCUUUCACCGGUGAAGAUAAUGACGGUAACCGGAGAAGAAGCCCCGGCUAACUUCGUGCCAGCAGCCGCGGUAAUACGAAGGGGGCUAGCGUUGUUCGGAUUUACUGGGCGUAAAGCGCACGUAGGCGGACUAUUAAGUCAGGGGUGAAAUCCCGGGGCUCAACCCCGGAACUGCCUUUGAUACUGGUAGUCUUGAGUUCGAGAGAGGUGAGUGGAAUUCCGAGUGUAGAGGUGAAAUUCGUAGAUAUUCGGAGGAACACCAGUGGCGAAGGCGGCUCACUGGCUCGAUACUGACGCUGAGGUGCGAAAGCGUGGGGAGCAAACAGGAUUAGAAACCCCUGUAGUCCCAUG
rnacentral:rRNA from 1 species